UCUCCGUUGGUGAACCAGCGGAGGGAUCAUUACUGAGUUGCAAAACUCCCAAACCACUGUGAACAUACCACUGUUGCUUCGGCGGUCCGCCCCGGGUGCGUCCUCGCGUCGUGUCCCGGGCCCAGGCGGCCGCCGGGGGCACCGAAUCUCUGUCUUUAUAGCGGGCUUCUGAGUACUUUACACAAAUAAAUCAAAACUUUCAGCAACGGAUCUCUUGGCUCUG
rnacentral:misc_RNA from 1 species